GCCCAGAUCGCAUAAUCGGGUAUUGCGACGGCCUGAUGAGCCGCUUUCCUUCACGGGAUAUGCGGGUUCGAAUCCCGCUCUGGGCG
rnacentral:tRNA from 1 species